UUUAUGGAGAGUUUGAUCCUGGCUCAGGAUGAACGCUGGCGGCGUGCCUAAUACAUGCAAGUCGAGCGAACGGACGAGAAGCUUGCUUCUCUGAUGUUAGCGGCGGACGGGUGAGUAACACGUGGAUAACCUACCUAUAAGACUGGGAUAACUUCGGGAAACCGGAGCUAAUACCGGAUAAUAUUUUGAACCGCAUGGUUCAAAAGUAAAGACGGUCUUGCUGUCACUUAUAGAUGGAUCCGCGCUGCAUUAGCUAGUUGGUAAGGUAACGGCUUACCAAGGCAACGAUGCAUAGCCGACCUGAGAGGGUGAUCGGCCACACUGGAACUGAGACACGGUCCAGACUCCUACGGGAGGCAGCAGUAGGGAAUCUUCCGCAAUGGGCGAAAGCCUGACGGAGCAACGCCGCGUGAGUGAUGAAGGUCUUCGGAUCGUAAAACUCUGUUAUUAGGGAAGAACAUAUGUGUAAGUAACUGUGCACAUCUUGACGGUACCUAAUCAGAAAGCCACGGCUAACUACGUGCCAGCAGCCGCGGUAAUACGUAGGUGGCAAGCGUAUCCGGAAUUAUUGGGCGUAAAGCGCGCGUAGGCGGUUUUUUAAGUCUGAUGUGAAAGCCCACGGCUCAACCGUGGAGGGUCAUUGGAAACUGGAAAACUUGAGUGCAGAAGAGGAAAGUGGAAUUCCAUGUGUAGCGGUGAAAUGCGCAGAGAUAUGGAGGAACACCAGUGGCGAAGGCGACUUUCUGGUCUGUAACUGACGCUGAUGUGCGAAAGCGUGGGGAUCAAACAGGAUUAGAUACCCUGGUAGUCCACGCCGUAAACGAUGAGUGCUAAGUGUUAGGGGGUUUCCGCCCCUUAGUGCUGCAGCUAACGCAUUAAGCACUCCGCCUGGGGAGUACGACCGCAAGGUUGAAACUCAAAGGAAUUGACGGGGACCCGCACAAGCGGUGGAGCAUGUGGUUUAAUUCGAAGCAACGCGAAGAACCUUACCAAAUCUUGACAUCCUUUGACAACUCUAGAGAUAGAGCCUUCCCUUCGGGGGACAAAGUGACAGGUGGUGCAUGGUUGUCGUCAGCUCGUGUCGUGAGAUGUUGGGUUAAGUCCCGCAACGAGCGCAACCCUUAAGCUUAGUUGCCAUCAUUAAGUUGGGCACUCUAAGUUGACUGCCGGUGACAAACCGGAGGAAGGUGGGGAUGACGUCAAAUCAUCAUGCCCCUUAUGAUUUGGGCUACACACGUGCUACAAUGGACAAUACAAAGGGCAGCGAAACCGCGAGGUCAAGCAAAUCCCAUAAAGUUGUUCUCAGUUCGGAUUGUAGUCUGCAACUCGACUACAUGAAGCUGGAAUCGCUAGUAAUCGUAGAUCAGCAUGCUACGGUGAAUACGUUCCCGGGUCUUGUACACACCGCCCGUCACACCACGAGAGUUUGUAACACCCGAAGCCGGUGGAGUAACCUUUUAGGAGCUAGCCGUCGAAGGUGGGACAAAUGAUUGGGGUGAAGUCGUAACAAGGUAGCCGUAUCGGAAGGUGCGGCUGGAUCACCUCCUUUCU
rnacentral:rRNA from 1 species